GGGUCAGUAGGUUGGUCGUGCCACCGGUACGUACUGGUCUCACUGAUUCCUCCUUCCUGAAGAACCGUAAUGCCAUUAAUUUGGUGUUGCGGGGGAACAGGACUGUUACUUUGAAAAAAUUAGAGUGUUUAAAGCAAGCUAACGCUUGAAUACAUUAGCAUGGAAUAAUGAAAUAGGACGAUCGAUCCUAUUUUGUCGGUUUCUAGGAUUGACGUA
rnacentral:rRNA from 1 species